UUAAACUAUUUAUCAACUCAACCCAUCAAAUUAAAUGAGUUAUGCGUUGACCCAACUCAUUUUGUAAAUGAGUUGGGUCAAUCCAUAACUCAUUUAACCCUAAACUCAUUUGAUUAUGAGU